AUUGAACGCUGGCGGCAGGCCUAACACAUGCAAGUCGAGCGGAUGAAGGGAGCUUGCUCCUGGAUUCAGCGGCGGACGGGUGAGUAAUGCCUAGGAAUCUGCCUGGUAGUGGGGGAUAACGUCCGGAAACGGGCGCUAAUACCGCAUACGUCCUGAGGGAGAAAGUGGGGGAUCUUCGGACCUCACGCUAUCAGAUGAGCCUAGGUCGGAUUAGCUAGUUGGUGGGGUAAAGGCCUACCAAGGCGACGAUCCGUAACUGGUCUGAGAGGAUGAUCAGUCACAUUGGAACUGAGACACGUUCCCGACUCCUACGGGAGGCAGCAGUGGGGAAUAUUGGACAAUGGGCGAAAGCCUGAUCCAGCCAUGCCGCGUGUGUGAAGAAGGUCUUCGGAUUGUAAAGCACUUUAAGUUGGGAGGAAGGGCAGUAAGUUAAUACCUUGCUGUUUUGACGUUACCAACAGAAUAAGCACCGGCUAACUUCGUG
rnacentral:rRNA from 1 species